rnacentral:rRNA from 1 species
UACGUAGGGAGCAAGCGUUGUCCGGAAUCAUUGGGCGUAAAGCGCGCGUAGGUGGCCUCAUAAGUCCGCUGUGAAAGUCAAAGGCUCAACCUUUGAAAGCCGGUGGAUACUGUGGGGCUAGAGUACGGAAGAGGCGAGUGGAAUUCCCGGUGUAGUGGUGAAAUGCGUAGAUAUCUGGAGGAACACCGGUGGCGAAGGCGGCAUCCUGGACCAACACUGACGCUGAGGAGCGAAAGCCAGGGGAGCAAACGGG